rnacentral:rRNA from 1 species
GACGGAGGGUGCUAGCGUUGUUCGGAAUUACUGGGCGUAAAGGGCGCGUAGGCGGCCUGAUCAGUCGGGUGUGAAAGCCCGGGGCUCAACCCCGGAACGGCACCCGAGACGGUCAGGCUGGAGACCGGGAGAGGAGGGUGGAAUAGCCAGUGUAGAGGUGAAAUUCGUAGAUAUUGGCUGGAACACCGGUGGCGAAGGCGGUCUGCUGGGCAGUUGCUGACACUGAGGCGCGACAGCGUGGGGAGCAAACAGG